GGGUGAUUAGCUCAGUUGGUAGAGCAGCUGACUCUUAAUCAGCGGGUCGUAGGUUCGAAUCCUACAUCACCCACCA
rnacentral:tRNA from 3 species